GGAGCAGUAUCGAAGUGGUCAUAACGGGCACGACUGGAAAUCGUGUGUACCCCAAAAGGGUACCGAGGGUUCAAAUCCCUCCUGCUCCGCCA
rnacentral:tRNA from 1 species